CUUCUCAUAUAAGUAGGUGGAUGCGGCCUCGAUUAGCGGGGGAACCACAUGAAAAAAAGCGAGCUACUGGGUGUACCUCCUGGGUAGUUUGGAAAUCACCUAAGAUAUAUAUGUAUAUAUUUAUAAAUAAAAGUUAAUAUAUAUAAAUUAACAUUAAUUUUUUUUAACAGGAAAUGCACAAUGCUAAAAACUGCGUAGGAGAUUUUAAUACAAUAGUACUACCAAGCCUGAUGUUGGCCGCUAUUUCAAUGAAUGCAGCAGUGUCACAGCUAGCAAUCAAAAGUAACAAGAUAUUGAGGAAAUGCAGAUGGCAAUAAACUGUGUAGGAGUUCAUGAUUGCAAUAGAAUAAAAUCGACCAAGCCUGAAGUCAGCAGCCCCUUCAAUGAAUGCAGCAGUGUGACAGCCAGCAAUCAAAAGUAACAAGAUGUCGAGGAAAUGCAGAAGGCAAAAAACUGCGUAGGAGAUCAUUAAUACAAAAGUAUUAUAUAAACCAAACCUGAUGUUGCCAGCUCCUUCAAUGAAUGCAGCAGUGUGACAGCCAGCAAUCAAAAGUAACAAGAUGUCGAGGAAAUGCAGAAGGCAAAAAACUGCGUAGGAGAUCAUUAAUACAAUAGUAUUAUAUAAACCAAGCCUGAUGUUGGCCGCUCAUUCAAAGAAUGCAGCAGUGUGACAGCCAGCAAUCAAAAGUAACAAGAUGUCGAGGAAAUGCAGAGUGCAAUAAACUUUGUAGGAGAUUAUGAUUGCAAUAGAAUAAAAUCGACCAAGCCUGAAGUUCUUCAAUGCACGCAGCAGUGUGACAGCCAGCAAUCAAAAGUUACAAGAUAUCGAGGAAAUGCAGAAGGCAAAAAACUGCGUAGGAGAUUAUUAAUACAAUAGUAUUAUAUCAACCAAGCCUGAUGUCGGUAGCUUCUUCAAUGAAUGCAGCAGUGUGACAGCCAGCAAUCAAUAGUGAUAGUGACAAGAAUCUAGGAAAUACAGAAGACAAAGAAGCAGAUGUCAUCAAAGAAGAUCUUUGUUCCUGCAAUGUUUCCGCAGACGAUACAUCCAACAGAGCGAAGUGGAAGGAAAAGACUCGGAAAAAAGACCCCACCACCAUAUGGGAACAAUGCAAGGGAGAGAGAGAGAA